UACGGGGGGGGCAAGCGUUGUUCGGAAUUACUGGGCGUCAAGGGCUCGUAGGUGGCCAACUAAGUCAGACGUGAAAUCCCUCGGCUUAACCGGGGAACUGCGUCUGAUACUGGAUGGCUUGAGUUUGGGAGAGGGACGCGGAAUUCCAGGUGUAGCGGUGAAAUGCGUAGAUAUCUGGAGGAACACCGGUGGCGAAGGCGGCGUCCUGGACCAACACUGACACUGAUGAGCGAAAGCCAGGGGAGCAAACGGG
rnacentral:rRNA from 1 species